UCCGGUUUAACACCGGCAGUCUCCGUAGAGUGCCCAACUAAAUGAUGGCAACUAGGGAUAGGGGUUGCGCUCGUUAAGGGACUUAACCCGACAUCUCACGAUACGAGCUGACGACAGCCAUGCAGCACCUGUCUCCCGGGGUAUUUCUACCAAGCCCCAUCUCUGGGGAUGUCCGAGGAUGUCAAGACCAGGUAAGGUUCCUCGCGUUGCAUCGAAUUAAACCACAUGCUCCACCGCUUGUGCGGGCCCCCGUCAAUUCCUUUGAGUUUUAAUCUUGCGACCGUACUUCCCAGGCGGGGUACUUAAUGCGUUAGCGUCGACACUGCAGGGGUCAAUUCCUACAACAUCUAGUACCCAUCGUUUACGGCGUGGACUAC
rnacentral:misc_RNA from 1 species